rnacentral:rRNA from 1 species
CGCAAGGGAUAGCGGCAAACGGGUGAGUAACACGUGAGUAAUCUGCCUCAAAGACGAACAUAGCAUCGUGAAAACGGUGGUAAUAUUCGAUAUGAUCAUAGACUGGCAUCGGUUUAUGAUUAAAGGUGGGGACCUUCGGGCCUACUACUUUGAGAUGAGCUCGCGUCCUAUCAGCUAGUUGGUGGGGUAACGGCCUACCAAGGCUUUUGACGGGUAGCUGGUCUGAGAGGAUGGUCAGCCACACUGGGACUGAGACACUGCCCAGACUCCUACGGGAGGCUGCAGUCGAGAAUCUUUAGCAAUGGGCGCAAGCCUGACUAUGCGACGCCGCGUGCAGGAUGAAGGCUUUCGGGUUGUAAACUGCUUUUGUUAGGAAAGAAAAUUUUGAUGCUAAUAUCAUCAAAACUGACGGUACCUAACGAAUAAGCCACGGCCAACUCCGUGCCAGCAGCCGCGGUAAUACGGAGGUGGCUAGCGUUACUCGGAAUUAUUGGGUGUAAAGGGCAAGUAGGCGGUCUAAUAAGUGAGGGGUGAAAUCCUGCGGCUCAAUCGCAGAAUAGCCUUUCAAACUGUUAGACUUGAGGCUGAAAGAGGUAAACGGAAUUAGCAGUGUAAGGGUGAAAUCUGUAGAUAUUGCUAAGAACACCAACGGCGAAGGCAGUUUGCUGGUUCAGAUCUGACGCUGAAUUGCGAAAGCUAGGGGAGCAAACAGAAUUAGAUACUCUGGUAGUCCUAGCCGUAAACGAUGAGCACUAGGUGUUGGCCCUUCGGGGUCAGUGCCGCCGCUAACGCAUUAAGUGCUCCACCUGGGGACUACGGCCGCAAGGCUAAAACUCAAAGGAAUUGACGGGGACCCGCACAAGCGGUGGAACAUGUGGUUUAAUUCGAUGCUACGCGAAGAACCUCACCAGGGCUUGACAUAUA